UUCCGUAGGUGAACCUGCGGAAGGAUCAUUGUCGAAACCUGCC
rnacentral:rRNA from 1 species